rnacentral:rRNA from 1 species
UACAGAGGUCUCAAGCGUUGUUCGGAUUCAUUGGGCGUAAAGGGUGCGUAGGCGGCGCGGUAAGUCCGCUGUAAAAGUCAAAGGCUCAACCUUUGAAUGUCAGUGGAUACUGCCGGGCUAGAGUCCGGAAGAGGCGAGUGGAACUCCUGGUGUAGCGGUGGAAUGCGCAGAUAUCAGGAAGAACACCAACGGCGAAGGCAGCUCGCUGGGACGGUACUGACGCUGAGGCGCGAAAGCGUGGGGAGCGAACAGG